CCCUCGGCACUGAUAGAAGAGAGAAGAAACAGACAGCCUAAAGCCCUUCCUCUCUCCUCGGCGCCGGAAUGGCGAAAAGCGGCGGCGAGUCCACUGUGGAGGUUCCUAUUCCCGCUUCCGCGUCGGCUACGAGGCCGAAGGCGAAACACCGUAUAGAGAUCGAGGGGUACCCUGUGGAUGGCGUCUCCAUUGGCGGUCAAGAGACUUGCGUCAUCUUCCCGACUCUGAGCCUCGCCUUCGACAUCGGCCGGUGCCCGCAGCGCGCCGUCUCCCAGGAGUUCCUCUUCGUCUCUCACGGGCACCUCGACCACAUCGGGGGCCUUCCCAUGUAUGUGGCCACGCGGGGGCUCUUCAGGCUGCGUCCGCCCACCAUCUUCGUCCCCGCGUGCCUCCGGGACCUCGUGGAGAGGCUAUUUGAGGUGCACCGCGCCAUGGACCAGUCCGAGCUCAACCACAACCUGGUCCCCCUGGAGGUCGGGGAGGAGUACGAGCUCAGGAGGGACCUCAAGGUCAGGGCUUUCAGGACCUAUCACGCCAUACCCAGCCAGGGGUAUGUGAUAUACUCGGUGAAGCAGAAGCUUAAGCAGGAGUUCAUUGGCCUACCAGGGAGCGAGAUCAAGCGGCUCAAGCUAUCAGGUGUGGAGAUCACAAAUACGGUGUCCACCCCUGAAAUUGCUUUCUCGGGGGAUACAACAGCAGAUUUCAUUCUUGAUCCGGAUAAUGCAGAUGUGCUGCAGGCAAAAAUUCUUGUUGUCGAGAGUACCUUUCUAGACGACUCAAUUUCAGUUGAGCAUGCAAGAGAAUAUGGGCACACACAUUUAUUUGAGAUAACAAGUCAGGCCGACAAGCUUCAAAACAAAGCUAUUCUACUGAUCCACUUUUCUGCUCGUUAUACUACAGAGGAAAUUGAUGCGGCAAUAAACAAAUUGCCACCGUCUUUCCGUAGCAGAGUUUAUGCCUUGAAGGAAGGCUUCUAAUAAAAACAUGAACCAGGAAAUCAGUAUUGAAGUUUUGUCGGAGCAGUUUUCCAAAUUGGAUUGCGUGGGUAUUUUUCACCGGAAACCUUUUUGCUAUGUGUGCUCUGAUGAUACUAUACCAAUCAUCUGAAGGUUCAUGCGGGGCUUUUUGUUGUCGGUACUCAUGCUUGUGACAUUGGAAUGUUUGAAUGGUGAAAUGCGAAACAUCAUGUCCAGAACAGGAACUCUCCUCACCUCAUCUCUGAAGAUAUACAAGUAGUACUAAAUCAAUUUCACACAAAAAAAAGAGCUACCCAUUGUGUCUGAACCGUAAAUUAUGGUUAGGUUUCAAUUCUAGCCUACUCCAACUUAUUUGGAAUUAGAAGACUGUUGUUGUUGCUGCUGCUUUAAACCUUGGUGGCAGAUUGCUCAAAUUCAGAUCAGAGUCGUCAUCUCAAUACUAGUUUUAAGGCAAUGGAGAAACAAUUGUAUGUGUUUCAACUUUCGACUGACAGGAACACACCCAUCGUUCUUUCCAUUCCUGCUAUGUAUUAAUGUAUACACCACACAAUCAAAAGAAUUGGGACCUGGAGUGUAAUAUACAGUUACAAACUUUGUUUUC